AUACGGAGGGUGCGAGCGUUAAUCGGAAUUACUGGGCGUAAAGCGCGCGUAGGCGGUUUGGUCAGUCGGAUGUGAAAGCCCUAGGCUCAACCUGGGAAUGGCAUUCGAUACUGCCUGACUAGAGUAUGGUAGAGGGAAGUGGAAUUUCCGGUGUAGCGGUGAAAUGCGUAGAUAUCGGAAGGAACACCAGUGGCGAAGGCGACUUCCUGGGCCAAUACUGACGCUGAGGUGCGAAAGCGUGGGGAGCAAACAGGAUUAGAAACCCCGGUAGUCC
rnacentral:rRNA from 1 species